GUUCUCCUCCCAUUUUCUUUUCUCUUCCGACCUAAACCUAAAUCUUCAAAAUCAAACCCACGAUUUCAUAGAUCAAAAUCAAAUUUCAUAAAUGAAAACUAUCUCGGAAAUCAAACGCAAACAAUCACUUGGACUGGAGGCUGCGGAUGUGUCUAACUUAGAGAAAAAAUUGAGAUUGAAAUAAGAUGACACAUAGAAGGGGAUCUGAGGGUUUUAACCAAAGGAGAUGAGAUAAAUCGAUGGUGGUAUUAAUUCCGGAGUUGUAGCCAGAUUUAAUCAUGGAUCGAGACUAAUCAAGACAGGGAAGAUGGAAGGAGAAUUCGAAUAUGAGAAAGAAAUGGAUUCGGGGUUUGUAUUUCUCAGAAGUUGUGACAAAAAUGAAGAUUGAAGUCCAGAUUCAAUGGGGUUUGAGAUUAAAUUGAAGUUAUGAUGUUGUUGUAGUCGAUGAGGUUUAGGUUGAUUUGGCUGUUAGUGUUAUUGAUUGAGAAGAAACAGAAACUAGGGUUGUUGUGGUGAUUAAGAUGAAUUUAAAGGGAUUGAGAAGAUGGGUUUGAUGGAUUUUUGGGUUCUUGGUUGUGAACUAUUGAUGGGGAUGAUUUAACAGCUGAUGGUGAAAGCUAAAGAAGAAUUAGGGCAAGGUCAGUCAAUUCAGAUGAUACAUUGAAUGGUUUAUCUAUGUUGGGUUGCUGUUAGAAAUUGCAGGGAAAAAGAAUUGUUUGCAGUAAAGGCACUAGUGGUGGCUGAAUGAUGGAAAUUGAACUGAGAUUUACAGAGAUGGAGAUGGACGUGAUGUUUCACAGAUUAUAUGGUUUACUAAAUCUGAGUUGUGAAGGGUGAUACAACUGUAAGUUAUAGAUAAUGGCUCAGGAUGUGGUGAUGUUUGAAGAUUGUAUGAUGAACUUUUUCCUGCCAGUGACUGUUAGAAGCAAGCAAUGAAGCUAAUGAAGAGAAUGGUAUGUGGAAGGUGCUUUGCAUCAGUGGUUUAAGCUGAGAAGGAGCUGGAAUUGCAGUGGUUGCAUUACAGAGAGCAAGAAGCUGUUGCUGCCUCUAGUACCUGAGAAUCUGAGUUGGAGGAAAUUCAAGGGGAUGACGACUGAGAUGAUGAAAUUCAAGAAGCUGUUACUGCCAUUUGUUCGUUGUGUUCCUUGUUUAUUAUUGUUGAUCAUAUGGAUCUCUCUUGCAUGACAGAUUUAUGUUUUGAAUGCAGGUUGCUGAAUAACAUUUGGAGACGAGAUAGUUACAAAACUCUUUGGUGGUGGUGUUAUUCAGUCUUACAGCAUUAGCAGCACUGGAAUGUGGAGUUGCAGGUGUAAGUACCUGUAAUCCACUUGGAACUUCACUAUAAUAGCCGAAAAUACUGUAAAGAUCGCUGACUUCUGUUUCAUGGCUGACCCAAGACAUAUCUACUUACACACGUUGUGUUGUUUUUCUCUAUUCCUUUAAAGAGCAAUUGCAGCAGAAUGUUGGUGUUCAUGCAAUGCCGUGUUGGCAGCUUGAAAAAUCUCUCCAAAGUUUAAUAGGUAACUUGGAGUUUUUUUAUAAUAUCCAUUUCAAGUCUUUAUUCUUUGUGAUGGGUUGUGUUUAGUAUCAAGAGAGUAAGC